ACGAACUUUUCUCCGGGCACUGAUUGCAAAUGUGAAUUUGUGUAAGUCUAAGUGGAAAGAGUGUUUCUACUGAAAAGAUGUAAUGAGGCGGUCUACGGUCGAAUUACUUGCAAUUGCAUCACGUAGAUAACUUGUCUUGUUGGGGCGGCAGUGGCUGCGCCUUACAAUGGACUUGUUGGAAUAUCAUCAUACGAUUACGAGUCCGUCCCUCGCUACUCCUUCAACUA